CGGGGAUUAGUAUAGUGACAACACGCCGCGCUGGGGGUGCGGAAUCGGGAGUUUAAUUCUCCCAUCCCCGA
rnacentral:tRNA from 1 species